GUAGGUGRACCUGCGGAAGGAUCAUUGUCGAAACCUGCCUAGCAGAAUGACCUGUGAACUCUUUAAAACACUGGAGGGUGCGUGCAUUCAGCGCGUUCCCCUCCCUUCUUCAUCAGGCGUGGGCUUACGCUCGUGCUUGUUGUAGAACAACCACCCCCGGGCGCAGUAUGCGCCAAGGAAAACUAACAAGAGAGCACGAUCUCAGGCCCCAUACACGGUGUGCUUGGGAUGCAGUGCAUUCUUUCAAAUUAUCUAUAACGACUCUCCAUCGAUGAAGAACGCAGCGAAAUGCGAUACUUGGUGUGAAUUGCAGGAUCCCGUGAACCAUCGAGUCUUUGAACGCAAGUUGCGCCCCAAGCUGUUAGGCUGAGGGCACGUCUGCCUGGGUGUCACGCAUCAUUGCCCCAUCCUCACCCCUCUGGGGCCAGAUGGUGUAGGCGGAGAAUGGCCUCCCGUGAGCAAGCACUCGCGGUUGGCCCAAAAAUGAGUCCUCGGUGACCGAAGCAGUGACGAUCGGUGGUGCAAACUUGCCUCUCGAGUUCACGUCACUUGCUUACGUCUUCGAUUAAAGACUCAAGGACCCUGACGCUCUGUAAAAGCGGAGCUCGCAUUGCGACCCCAGGUCAGGCGGGAUUACCCGCUGAGUUUAAGC
rnacentral:sRNA from 1 species